CCUACGGGAGGCAGCAGUGGGGAAUAUUGGGCAAUGGAGGCAACUCUGACCCAGCAACGCCGCGUGAGCGAUGAAGGUCUUCGGAUUGUAAAGCUCUUUAAGCGGGGACGAAGAAAGUGACUGUACCCGCAGAAUAAGCCUCGGCUAACUACGUGCCAGCAGCCGCGGUAAUACGUAGGAGGCAAGCGUUAUCCGGAAUGACUGGGCGUAAAGGGUGCGUAGGUGGUUUGGCAAGUUGGUAGCGUAAUCCCGGGGCUCAACCUCGGUGCUACUACCAAAACUGUUGAACUUGAGUGCAGGAGGGGUGAAUGGAAUUCCCAGUGUAGCGGUGGAAUGCGUAGAUAUUGGGAAGAACACCAGCGGCGAAGGCGAUUCACUGGACUGUAACUGACACUGAGGCACGAAAGCGUGGGGAGCAAACAGGAUUAGAUACCCCAGU
rnacentral:rRNA from 1 species